UGACGUGGGGGCACCCUGACCGCAAUGCCGCGUGAGUGAAGAAGGCCUUCGGGUUGUAAAGCUCUUUUGUCAUGGAAGAAACACCGGCUCUAACACAGUCCGGGAAUGACGGUACCUGAAGAAUAAGCACCGGCUAACUACGUGCCAGCAGCCGCGGUAAUACGUAGGGUGCAAGCGUUAAUCGGAAUUACUGGGCGUAAAGCGUGCGCAGGCGGUUAUACAAGACAGGCGUGAAGUCCCCGGGCUUAACCUGGGAAUGGCGCCUGUGACUGUAUAGCUAGAGUGUGUCAGAGGGGGGUAGAAUUCCACGUGUAGCAGUGAAAUGCGUAGAUAUGUGGAGGAAUACCAAUGGCGAAGGCAGCCCCCUGGGAUAACACUGACGCUCAUGCACGAAA
rnacentral:rRNA from 1 species